rnacentral:rRNA from 1 species
UACGGAGGGUGCGAGCGUUAAUCGGAUUUACUGGGCGUAAAGCGCACGUAGGCGGCUAGAUAAGUCGGGUGUGAAAUCCCUGGGCUCAACCUGGGAACUGCAUUCGAUACUGUCUGGCUAGAGUUUAGGAGAGGGAGGCGGAAUUCCCGGUGUAGCGGUGAAAUGCGUAGAUAUCGGGAAGAACACCAGUGGCGAAGGCGGCCUCCUGGCCUAAAACUGACGCUGAGGAGCGAAAGCGUGGGGAGCAAACAGG